AUGAACGCUGGCGGCGUGCCUAAUACAUGCAAGUCGAGCGAACAGACGAGGAGCUUGCUCCUCUGACGUUAGCGGCGGACGGGUGAGUAACACGUGGAUAACCUACCUAUAAGACUGGGAUAACUUCGGGAAACCGGAGCUAAUACCGGAUAAUAUAUUGAACCGCAUGGUUCAAUAGUGAAAGACGGUUUUGCUGUCACUUAUAGAUGGAUCCGCGCCGCAUUAGCUAGUUGGUAAGGUAACGGCUUACCAAGGCAACGAUGCGUAGCCGACCUGAGAGGGUGAUCGGCCACACUGGAACUGAGACACGGUCCAGACUCCUACGGGAGGCAGCAGUAGGGAAUCUUCCGCAAUGGGCGAAAGCUUGACGGAGCAACGCCGCGUGAGUGAUGAAGGUCUUCGGAUCGUAAAACUCUGUUAUUAGGGAAGAACAAAUGUGUAAGUAACUAUGCACGUCUUGACGGUACCUAAUCAGAAAGCUACGGCUAACUACGUG
rnacentral:rRNA from 1 species